rnacentral:rRNA from 1 species
UCGGGAAUUUUGGGCAAUGGGCGAAAGCCUGACCCAGCAACGCCGCGUGAAGGAUGAAGUAUUUCGGUAUGUAAACUUCGAAAGAAUAGGAAGAAUAAAUGACGGUACUAUUUAUAAGGUCCGGCUAACUACGUGCCAGCAGCCGCGGUAAUACGUAGGGACCAAGCGUUGUUCGGAUUUACUGGGCGUAAAGCGCAUGUAGGCGGGCCGUUAAGUUAGGGGUGAAAUCCCGAGGCUCAACCUCGGAACUGCCUCUAAAACUGGCGGCCUGGACCUAAGUAGAGGCAAGUGGAAUUGCGAGUGUAGAGGUGAAAUUCGUAGAUAUUCGCAGGAACACCAGUGGCGAAGGCGACUUGCUGGACUUAUGGUGACGCUGAGGCACGAAAGCGUGGGGAGCAAACAGGAUUAGAUACCCACGUAGUCCCUGAGCGGGCUGGCAAGGCGCAU